GUUAGUAACAUUACUUUGCGAACUCCAUGGGGCAUGGGUAGUUAACAUUAAACUUAAUACAUGUAGUGUUGAUGCAUAAUAUGUAGUGUUGCUAUAACUGGAAAGAGGACCAGUAAAACAAAUUAAUGAAGUAGGCUGAUGUGUAAGUUAUCUCACCCCUAAUUUAGGAACUGUAGUUUUGCAUAGUCAUGCUCAUAGAUCCGUCAUAUAGUGGAUGUGAAAGGGGAGCAUUUGGGGAAUUUCAAUUACCAGAAAUAUCAUGCCGAUAAGUAAAGGGAUCUUUAGUUUGUGAAGGGUAGUGUUUGGCUAAAUGGUAUUCAUUUUAUAGCCUUUAUUUGCCCAAUGUUUGGUGACUUAAAUUGAGGCAUGUGUUUAUUUAAGAUGCAUGUGAGUGUAGUAGUGCUUCAGUGAUGGUCUUUUCAUGUUCUGUGUGUUUUGCAAUGUAUUAAUUAAUGUAAGCCUCUUUCUGUUCCCUCUGUUAGUAGGUGGUGUGAGGACUGCUGCCCUGAGAACGCUGUGUCAGAGACACUUAGGCUGUGUGCAUUUUGGAAUGUUCCAAAUGUGUGUCACUUCCAUAAGGAAGAAGUUCCAAGCCUGCAAGUGAGUUCACUCACCAAAUAGAGACACACGCAUAUAGCAUUUAAUAUGUGUGCAUGUACUGUAUUUGUGUCUGUAACUGUUUAGUUUAUCCCCUCCUUUCAUGUGUCUGUUAUGACUUUGUGGGCUCAACUGUCAACAACUGUCCAGGGCGAAGUCGGUCAACCCUGAUGGCACUACCUGAUGGCACUACCCUGAUGAUGUCUGUUAGCCAUGGCUGCUGCCCUCAACAUGGUGAGCCAUCCAGAAGUCCCAGCCUGGAGCCAGAGGCUGCUAUUGCAAGUCAGAUGGGAGAUGGCCUACAGUAUGUUAGGCAUCAGAAAAGUGGUGUUCGCAUGAAGGCAGAGUUGCCGCAGGCAAUUAUGAGAUUAGACACUUGACAUUUACUGCGAAAGGUACCAUCAGAGCACCUCUCCCUACCCUGCAGGAUACCUA